AUUGAACGCUGGCGGCAGGCCUAACACAUGCAAGUCGAGCGGAUGAAGGGAGCUUGCUCCUGGAUUCAGCGGCGGACGGGUGAGUAAUGCCUAGGAAUCUGCCUGGUAGUGGGGGAUAACGUCCGGAAACGGGCGCUAAUACCGCAUACGUCCUGAGGGAGAAAGUGGGGGAUCUUCGGACCUCACGCUAUCAGAUGAGCCUAGGUCGGAUUAGCUAGUUGGUGGGGUAAAGGCCUACCAAGGCGACGAUCCGUAACUGGUCUGAGAGGAUGAUCAGUCACACUGGAGCUGAGACACGGUCCAGACUCCUACGGGAGGCAGCAGUGGGGAAUAUUGGACAGUGGGCGAAAGCCUGAUCCAGCCAUGCCGCGUGUGUGAAGAAGGUCUUCGGAUUGUAAAGCACGUUAAGUUGGGAGGAAGGGCAGUAAGUUAAUACCUUGCUGUUUUGACGUUACCAACAGAAUAAGCACCGGCUAACUUCGUG
rnacentral:rRNA from 1 species